rfam:Streptococcus parauberis NCFD 2020 Noncontiguous_Finished_Chromosome chromosome, whole genome shotgun sequence.
AUUUUCACAAAGGAGUGCUUUGGCUGAGAUCGUUAAGACGAAAUCCUAAAGACCUGAUCUUGUUAAUACAAGCGUAGGGAUUGUGACCGUGAUAAUG